UGACGGUACCUGAAGAAGAAGCACCGGCUAACUACGUGCCAGCAGCCGCGGUAAUACGUAGGGUGCGAGCGUUAAUCGGAAUUACUGGGCGUAAAGCGUGCGCAGGCGGUGACUCAAGUCAGAUGUGAAAUCCCCGGGCUUAACCUGGGAACUGCAUUUGAAACUAGGUCGCUAGAGUAUGGCAGAGGGGGGUAGAAUUCCACGUGUAGCAGUGAAAUGCGUAGAGAUGUGGAGGAAUACCGAUGGCGAAGGCAGCCCCCUAGGUCAAUACUGACGCUCAUGCACGAAAGCGUGGGGAGCAAACAGGAUUAGAUACCCUGGUAGUCCACGCCCUAAACGAUGUCAACUAGUUGUCGGAGGGGGAGACCUCUUUGGUAACGCAGCUAACGCGUGAAGUUGACCGCCUGGGGAGUACGGUCGCAAGAUUA
rnacentral:rRNA from 1 species